CAAUCAACGUACUCUGUCGUCAGAUCGGCAACGGACGUUUGCUGUGCGCCCGCCGCUUUGUGUAGUUAUUAUCGGGUCUGUAAUGUGUGAGCAACCCAUUUGGACUGUGGAGCUGUGGCUGUGGGGGAUUCAACUGAGUGCCCGUUCCAUUUCCACCCUCGUCUUUGUUGUCAUCGUCAAUCGAGGGGGAUGCGAAUGAAUCGAUGAGUGUCCUCGUUGGAAUCGGCGGCGGCGGCGGCGGGUGAAUCAGCUAGCUCGUGGACGGCAGAACACCUUGUGGCACCAGGCUGAAGACGUUGGGAAGAAAGCGAGCCUGACUAGAUCUGCUGCCGGCGGCCAUCUAGCCGCCCCUGCAAAUCCAAAGCAGGGACGCCUUGUCCUCUCCGCCAGUUCGUCUAAGAUCACCUGAGGAGAGACAGUGGAAGAGGAACCUUGUUCCUGGAGUUACGUUGUUCCCAUGGUUGGUGGAUUAGGCGUAGGGGUUCAUUUUAUCAAGAUGCCAUCUGUGCUCCGGAGUUGAUAUGUUGAGCCAGCCCUCCCUAUUCAGCAACCCCACCAUGGCCGCUUCCUCCUCUAAUGAGUUAUGCCUUCCCACAGAGGACUCUCUCAAGGGCGAUGGUCCUGCCAGUGAGUUUCUUUUGAUGAAGAUCUGCAUGGUGCAUUUAGCAGGUUCUAUGGUAAACUUGCAUAGUCAUCGUAUUAAAUUUACAGGCAAAAUUUGUGUAAUUUCCAUAUUACUCCUGCGUAAGUUUUAUAGCAUAGUAGAUUAUAUGUCUCUGAAUUAUUUGGUCCAGUAAAGUUAUAUAGUAGUACUAUGAGCUUGUAUUGUUAUGAAGACCAAGUAGUUAAAUAUAAUUUCCAUAUUAUUGUGUUUAGACUUGUAAUGCUUUCAUCUCGUCAUAUCUCAUCAUAUCUGUGUUUGUUUUUAUCUGACAUGUCCUCUGUGCUUCCAGAUCUAUUGACCAUUGGUUUUCACUCUCAAUUUUUUUCUUCUUAGCCUACUUGAAAGAUCAUUCAUGUAAAUAUAUACAUAUUAUUGGGACCAAUUGAAAACUUAACAAUAAUGUAUAUAAAUAUCACACAUCUAGGACUUAUGUAAUUUCAGGUAAUUUUUUUAACAUAGGUAAUAAGAGUUGAGCUUUACAUCUUCCGUUUAAUUUAGCUUGGCUAUAUUUUUUCAGCAUCUCUUAUUUUUUAUAGAUAGGCUCAUUUUUCUUUCUUUUUAAUACAUAUAUCAUGUGUCUAUAUUGGACAAUUCACUAGAAGUUCAGUGCUUGCCACUUUAAAACCUCACUUGUAAUUGUAGUGUCUAUGAAUGUAAAACUACUUGCAAAUUCUGUAAUUUUAAUUUUUUAUUAUUUUUUGCUAGCAAAUUAUAACAAAUAAGAGUGUUUAUACUUAUAUAACAUUGCAACUUCUAGAAUAUGCUUGUUCUGUUAGGUUCUACGGUUAUCUACAUGUAGUUGACUCUGUCAAUUGUUAUAUAUAACUUCUAGGAUUGGAUGCAUGAUGCAAAUUUUGAGAAGAAUCCAUGAGCUAUCUUCAAAGUAAUAAAGCUCCUAUUAUCUCUUGUUACUGUUGGUCCGUAUACUUGUCGGUGGUGAUCUUUUAGUACAUCAGGAUCUGAUUCUGAAAAUGAGACAUGCAUUUGUGAUACUCUUUUACUUGUAGUUAUGUUCUUGUUUUGUUCGGCUCAGAUAUCUAGAUCUUGUUUUGCUUACCUGUGUUUUGCAUAUACUAAAAUGGCCUGUCAGCAGGAUUAGAUUUUUCUUAUGCAAUAGUGUCUUUCUGUAAUUCUUACCUCCCUUAAGCCUGAAUGCCUUGCAUGAGUCGACCCUAUGUGAAUGUGGAGAAGGGAUUCUUGAAACUGGACACACUAUAUGUCGGGUAAUUUUACAUCAUGUAUACUUGGACAUUCCUUUUGCUUGCUGUCAAUUUCUGUUAUGAAGAAACACAGGUUGGCAGCAGCAGGAGGAAGAGGGAACAGAUGAGACCCUAUAUUAUAUAGAAAGUUACAUGUAUGUAAUUUGAGUUGCAUCACUCUUAGCCCAUGUGAUUUUAGUCUUAUUUUAUAGAACUUGCAGCGAAUUGUGACUCUUGUAAUAAAAUUUUACUUGUAAAUUUUUGUAUGUACAAAAAUUUUGAAUGUGACCUUUUGUUUGGUUGUUA